rnacentral:rRNA from 1 species
CCUGGCUCAGGAUGAACGCUAGCGGGAGGCCUAACACAUGCAAGUCGAGGGGUAACAGUGCUGCUUGCAGCAGCUGACGACCGGCACACGGGUGCGUAACGCGUAUGCAACCUGCCCCGAACAGGGGAAUAGCCCAGGGAAACUUGGAUUAAUGCCCCAUGGUGACCAUUAACCGCAUGGUUCAUGGUUUAAAGCCCUGGCGGUUUGGGACGGGCAUGCGUGGCAUUAGCUUGUUGGUGGGGUAACGGCCCACCAAGGCUACGACGCCUAGGGGUUCUGAGAGGAUGGCCCCCCACACUGGUACUGAGACACGGACCAGACUCCUACGGGAGGCAGCAGUGAGGAAUAUUGGUCAAUGGGCGCAAGCCUGAACCAGCCAUCCCGCGUGGAGGACGACGGCCCUAUGGGCUGUAAACUUCUUUUAUGUGCCAAGAAUGGUGGCCACGUGUGGCCAUUUGACGGUAGCACAUGAACAAGCACCGGCUAACUCCGUGCCAGCAGCCGCGGUAAUACGGAGGGUGCAAGCGUUAUCCGGAUUCAUUGGGUUUAAAGGGUACGUAGGUGGCCAAUUAAGUCAGUGGUGAAAUCCUGCCGCUCAACGGUAGGACUGCCAUUGAUACUGGUUGGCUUGAGUACAGUUGAGGUAGGCGGAAUGUGCAGUGUAGCGGUGAAAUGCUUAGAUAUUGNCACAGAACCCCCGAUUGCGGAGGCAGCUUACCAAACUGUAACUGACACUGAUGUACGAAAGCGUGGGUAGCGAACAGGAUUAGAUACCCUGGUAGCCCACGCCGUAAACGAUGCUCACUCGCUGUAUGCGCUACACUGUAUGCGGCCAAGCGAAAGCAUUAAGUGAGCCCACCUGGGGAGUACGCCGGCAACGGUGAAACUUCAAAGGAAUUGACGGGGGCCCGCACAAGCGGAGGAACAUGUGGUUUAAUUCGAUGAUACGCGAGGAACCUUACCUGGGCUUAAAUGUAGGUUGACAGGGCCGGAAAUGGUUUUUUCUUCGGACAGCCUACAAGGUGCUGCAUGGUUGUCGUCAGCUCGUGCCGUGAGGUGUCGGGUUAAGUCCCAUAACGAGCGCAACCCUUACCGUUAGUUACCAUCAGUUCGGCUGGGGACUCUAACGGGACUGCCACCGUAAGGUGAGAGGAAGGUGGGGACGAUGUCAAAUCAGCACGGCCCUUAUGCCCAGGGCUACACACGUGUUACAAUGGCCGGUACAAAGGGCAGCUACUGUGCGAACAGGUGCAAAUCCCGAAAGCCGGUCCCAGUUCGGAUCGAAGUCUGCAACCCGACUUCGUGAAGCUGGAUUCGCUAGUAAUCGCGCAUCAGCCAUGGCGCGGUGAAUACGUUCCCGGGCCUUGUACACACCGCCCGUCAAACCAUGGGGGCCGGGGGUGCCUGAAGUCUGUGACCG